rnacentral:lncRNA from 1 species
ACGAUCUCACGAUAUUAGGUGAGGCGCCAUUAUGGAAGACGACUGGGAUGGUUCUAGCCUCAAGCAAAUGAGACACCAUUUAUAGAGGAAUCAAGCCUGGGCACCUCCAACUACUCCCUCUGAUUACAUGAUAGAUGUCACCACAUAAAGGCCUCGAAGAUCAUGCCUCCCAAAAAUCAAGGCUUCAAUUGUCCUUUCCAAUAGGCUGUCACUAUCGAAAAGAGCCAAGUAUUAAAUCUCCAGGGAGUAUAAUUUUUCAAAGCCAAACCAAUUAGAGAUAUCUUAGUCCCGAUUGAGAUCUCUGAAAAAAUAUUUAGUAAACUACCAAAUAUGAUGACAAUCACAAGAUAUUUGGAUGAUUGUCUGAACCCCGAUGAUUGGAUUGAUGGACCGAUCCCUC